AGAAGAGGAAGGGUGGGCCUGGGCCUGGGCCUAGGCCUAGGCGAGGGUGGGGAAAGGGAAGAGAAAUACAGGGGAUGAUUCUUUUCCCGUGCAAGGCUAGUAGUUGUUUCUCCUGAGUACGCGCCUGUAACCAGCGAGCGUGCUUUUCGCAGGAGAAGCGUCCCUUCGUCUCGGAGCGUAAGAUGCUUCAGGAGAGCGAAGGGCAUCUAGCGCGCAUGCGCCGUAACUGUCGGGAUGCUUAAAGGAGGCUGUUGUUUCGGGGCGGGCGGGGGGAGUCCUAGCGACGCCGAACAGGAAGAGCCAAGCGCGCCUACAGGAUAUAUGUGCUUGCUACUCUUGAGUUUGAAGAUGGGCAGUGGAAGUGGCACAUGCUUCUGCUAAAAGUGUGUGUUAACAGGGUAGUCAUGAAAUUUUUGUUCUCAACAGUGUUAACAGCAAUGAAAACAUAAAUAACUUUAGUGCCUGGAACAAAGCUAUUAUAAGCUGUAAAUAUUACAAGUGAAUACAGUUUAAAUAAUUGAAAUUAAUGUAUAAGAUUUGUUUGCUUUGUAAAGGCACUUUAACUGCUGUGGAGUAAAUUGAGGAAAGUGCCUCCUCAGUUUGUAUUUUUAUGUGUAUAUGCCUUAUGUUGUGGUUUUGAUACAAUAAAAUUAAAGUGGUUUGCAAUUA